rnacentral:rRNA from 1 species
AGGGUUUGAUCAUGGCUCAGAACGAACGCUGGCGGCACGCCUAACACAUGCAAGUCGAGCGAGCCUUCGGGCAAGCGGCGGACGGGUUAGUAACGCGUGGGAACGUACCCUUCUCUAAGGAAUAGCCUCGGGAAACUGAGAGUAAUACCUUAUACGCCCUUCGGGGGAAAGAUUUAUCGGUGAAGGAUCGGCCUGCGUCUGAUUAGAUAGUUGGUGGGGUAAUGGCCUACCAAGUCUACGAUCAGUAGCUGGUUUGAGAGGAUGAUCAGCAACACUGGGACUGAGACACGGCCCAGACUCCUACGGGAGGCAGCAGUGGGGAAUCUUAGACAAUGGGCGAAAGCCUGAUCUAGCGAUGCCGCGUGAGUGAUGAAGGUCUUAGGAUCGUAAAGCUCUUUCGCCAGGGAUGAUAAUGACAGUACCUGGUAAAGAAACCCCGGCUAACUCCGUGCCAGCCGCCGCGGUAAUAC